CCAGGGGGAUGGGCGAGCUUGGG
rnacentral:miRNA from 1 species